UGGAAUAAGUGGUACAGGGGCAACUCAAAGCCAGAUACUUUGAAUUGACCAGUUUUCCCCUUGACUUCUGGGAAAUGUUUCAUAUUUAUUCGUGGAGUAAGUCAAGAGCAGAAACCAUUUCUUUGGUUCCUUGUUUUAGCUUUGUCAGUAGAAUGAAGCCUGGAGGCCACCUGCCUCUCUGUUCAGUUUGAUGCAGAAGACAUAGAAAGCUAAGAGAACCCCUAGGAGAAAGUCUGCUCCCCCAUUAGCAGGCACAGAGCAGCAGUGUCCUUCCCGAUGGCCUGGGACUGAAGCUAGGUUACCAUGGGUGCUGUUGUUUUCCAUGCUCAGUAGACUGCAGGAAAAUUCCUGUUGUUGCCAGUUAAGGCUGUCAGAAAUAUCUCAAGGCAGCUGGCUGUCUUCACAUCCUCUGGUGAGGAGGUGGCAGAUGUGUGGAACGCAAGCAUGAGAUAGCUCUCUAAGAAUGCAUGGCUGCUGGUGCUGACCUGAGUGACAGCGGUGUAUCUGAGCAAGUGUCUUUAUCCACAGUUGACAUAACCAUCUAUCAUGAACAUUCAGCCUGGUAACUUUAAGGGUCUUCUCAGUAGAUGGAUUCUGCUGUUUCUGACUUUGGCAUUUUACAUUCACUAUGCCUGUUCUUAUAUAGAAAGAUUUCAAGACUGAUUAAGUAAAAUACUGCAUGUAAAAUAUUUAACCAAGUCAUUUUCUCAAGCUUAAAUAUAUGCUCAUAAUUUCAUUGACCACAGAAGCUGGAAGCCGUGAAAACUUGAUCGCUGUGAUGCACAGCUUGUUGAGAGUAGGGUUCGCACAGGGCUCAUGAGAUCAAGUUAGAGUGUUUUACCUUGAAAUCCAGAGAUGGCCUAAGUUUCUGUCAGAAAGUUCAACGCUCUCCCACUCUUACUAUAUUUUUCAGAUGACGAAUUCAGUGAAUGGAAGUCAUAAUCAUUUGGGUUGUUCUAGAGAACUUGUUGGUUAUGUUUUGGUGUGUACUCUGUGAGGAAGCUUCCAUUUUUCAGUUGCUCACAUUCUUCUGGGGUGUCAUGGUUAGAGUUUCUAUUACUGUGAUAAAACACCACAUCCAAAGCGAGUUGGGGAGGAAAGGGUUUAGUUGGCUUAUACUUCUACAUGGUAGUCCAACAUUGAAGGAAGCCAGGCAGGAGCUCAAGCAGGGCAGGAACCUGGAGGCAGGAGCUGAUGCAGAAGCCAUGGGAGGGUGCUGCUUACUGGCUUGCUCCUCAAGGCUUGCUCAGCCUGCUUUCUUACGAGCACAGGACCACCAGUCUAGGGUUACCCUGUUCACAGUGGACUGGGCCCUCCCCUACUGAACACUAAGAAAAUAACCUACAGACUUUCCUACAAGGAGAUUUUAUGGGAAUAUUUUCUAAAUUGAGGCUCUGUCCUCUCAGAUGACUUUAGCUUGUGUCAAGUUGACAUAAAACUCUCCAGCACUGGGUGUGUUGGGGUUAGGGGUAUAGCUCACUCACACUGUGCUAGAUUUUCAAGCUGGGAAAGACAGGCAAGCUAUAUCUUCUUUCCCUAAAGAGUGGGGAUUUGGUCAAGGUGGACAGGGACAGUCACAGCAUGACAUACUGUGCCCAUGGACAGUCACUGGUGAGCAAGCGCAGGAAGUGCCUGUAAGUUUAGGGUACCCAUCCCUUGUUUGUAGUCAUUGAGCUGUCCCUCCACCCAAACAGGCCAGGCCUUCAUAUGUUUUCCCUCAAAGCCUAGCUUCUAACAAAAAUCUUUUGCCAGUGUCUU
rnacentral:lncRNA from 1 species